CUCCUACGGGAGGCAGCAGUGGGGAAUAUUGGACAAUGGGCGCAAGCCUGAUCCAGCAAUGCCGCGUGUGUGAAGAAGGCCUGCGGGUUGUAAAGCACUUUCAGUAGAGAAGAAAAGCCUAGGGUUAAUAACCCUGAGUCUUGACGUAACCUACAGAAGAAGCACCGGCUAACUCCGUGCCAGCAGCCGCGGUAAUACGGAGGGUGCGAGCGUUAAUCGGAAUUACUGGGCGUAAAGCGCGCGUAGGCGGUUUUGUCAGUCGGAUGUGAAAGCCCUGGGCUUAACCUGGGAAUUGCAUUCGAUACUGCAUAACUAGAGUAUGGUAGAGGGAAGUGGAAUUUCCGGUGUAGCGGUGAAAUGCGUAGAUAUCGGAAGGAACACCAGUGGCGAAGGCGGCUCUCUGGAACGGUACUGACGCUGAGACGCGAAAGCGUGGGGAGCGAACAGGAUUAGAUACCCUGGUAGUCCACGCCGUAAACGAUGGGCACUAGAUGUGGGCGGUGUCGACUCCGUCCGUGUCGAAGCUAACGCAUUAAGUGCCCCGCCUGGGGAGUACGGCCGCAAGGCUAAAACUCAAAGGAAUUGACGG
rnacentral:rRNA from 1 species